UUUUGGACUUGCUUCAUAUAUUUUGUUGCUGGUAAAAACUGUCAGAAUGUCAAACUUUAGACACACUACAAUCGUAUUUCAUAAUACAUGAUUCGUAUCAACAAUAAAGAGAAAAUUAACUGGAAUAAAAAAAAAGAAUGAACAUUUACUAGUGUUCCGAAGAACAGCCAUUAAACUUUGCUUAAGUUUUGCUAAUAUCCAUUUCCACCACCAUGAUACGAAAAGAAGUUAUACUAGACAACCUCACCCCAUCUCAAUCAAAUGGAAACUUGUCCAUAUGCUUUCCUCGAAAAAUCAGAUUGAGGAACCAAAUUUUGUUAACAUGGGAUCAUCAAAGAGAGAAAUAUAGAGCUGUGAGCAUAAGAAGUGGCAUUAUUGCAGCCAAUUUAAAUUACGAUUCUCUUGUAUAAAGGCAUGAAAUACAUUCAUUAAGGUCUUUUUCACAACUAAACAUGCUCCUUAACAGAAUUUGAGAGAGACCAAAUAAAUGAGUUUUAACAGAAAUUAAGCCACUACCGUCUGCUUGGUCCAAGAAGCUUUUGCUAUCAGAAACUCCAUAUCUUGUUGAUUGGUAACGCAUAUAGCUACUAAGACACUCCAUAGUUCCAAAACCAAGAUAAAUUAUCAUAUUAUUUCUCACCGGUCAUUUUCCUAGACAGUCUUCUCACCAGAACUAAGAUCAAUUCAUUUUCUAAGAUGCCCUGAAUUUCUGAGAUAAUUAAUUUGAUAAUUUAUUUUUUUAGCCUAAAGUACAAAAGAAACUUAAGACCUCCUUAUAAAGAAAGUUACAUAGUGGCUGAUGACAAUCCAAAUUACCUUUUCAAUUCUCAGUUAUACUGUAAGACCUCAAAUUAAUUAUAAAAAAUAAAAAAUAAACCAAUACAUUGGCAGAGAACUAAUGUCAAAGCAACUUAUUUCAAGCAUUAGUAUCACCUGUUUAACUCGACGUCAGAUAAAAGAUUUCACUCAAAAUAGCAUAUAUCAAAUAAGAAAAAAAAUUAAAAUACCAUAUUAGUAUUCUGUUGCUUCUCACCUGUUCCAAAUUAAUAUUGUUUAAUCUCUGCAUACCCUUCUGCCCAUAAACCUCUCAUUACUUCUGGAUAAGCGAGAAAAUAAAGAAGAGUACAGAAGUUAGUAGGGAAAAAUUUCAGUAUGUCAUCAAAAAAGAGAAUAAAUUUACAUACUAAAUUACAAAAUGUGCUAUCGAAAUCUUGUAGAGCAAUGAAAUCAAUGAUAGUAGAGAGUAAACAACUUCGAUUCAUUUUGGCAAAUAAAAAGAGCAAAGCAACAAAAAAGAUUGAAAAUAGCAGCUUUAGCAGACGUGGAUGAUCCAAUAUAUAAUUGGACGAAGGAAGAUUUCAUUAUCAAUUCUCUUUAUAAUGAUAGCGCUUUAAAUCAGAGUAAUCUUUUGAAAAUCCAAAUAACCCAUCCUUCUGCUUGGUGAAUAGACGAAAAGGAGAUAUCAAACUGCCUACAACAUAUGGUAAUCGAUCUUGUAGAGACAUCUACGUCAUAAUCUCAAACUUUGAAAUCUGUAUCGCCAAUAAACUAAAUCAAAGAAGAAUGAAAUCCUUUUGAAUCUUAGUUUGUUGAUCAUUCAAGCUUCUUGAUAUUUCAACUAUCAUUACGACAACAUGCACAGAUAAAACAGGAAAUAAAAAACAUAGAAAUGAAUACCGAAAUGGGAUAUCAAGAGAUUGAUAAAAGUUUACUUGAAAAGAAAUUGGAGGAGAGAAAGUGGGUAGAUCUUCUUAAUGGUGGCAAGCCGCCUGUCUGAUUCUAUUUUUUGACCAAUUUGAUUCAUUUGUUACCUGAUUCUGGACAUGUAUGUGCUCGACAAAUUGAGCCUACUAAUGUGUUCAGUUGUAGAAUACCUAGAAAAAGUGGAAAAGUUAAUCUGGGCCUAUUAUCAAAAGCAUUGGUGGAUCAGAUGUAAAUUGGAUACAUCUAAAAAAUUAUCCAAUAUAAUAGAGAAACUACCAGAUACCCAUCGGUGCAUUAAAAGAAGUGAAAGAACAGAGAAAAAUUCACCACAAUUAAAUAGAAUAAAACACACACCAAAGACAACUUGGAACUCAGAUUGAGAAAUGUAAAAUAAAAAAUAAAAUAAAAACUAAACUACAGAUGCAUGUGCGUGCAAAAUUUUCCUUAAAAAAGGUAAGAUGGAAAAUAAAAUUCAAAUGGAGCUAAGCAGAAUGAGCAGAGCAGUAAAAGAAACACGGAACAGCAACCAAACCAAAGUAUAACCAGAACAAACAGGAGAAAUGAUCAAUUCACAAAAUAAAGUAGAAACAGAGCGAUAUAAUAGCAAGUAAGCAACUUGUAUCCGUUUAUGGCAAAUUAAGUUCACCAAAGCAAAGAGACGACACUUUGGAGUGAACGGCAGAAGAAAUUUGAGACAAUUGGAAAAGAGAACAUAAAAUCAAGAAUUAGUCCUUGAAAUCUCUAUACAUAAAGUUAGUACAUCGUGGUUUGCCCUUAUAAACAAUAGUACACGCCCUAAAAGACACGAAGAUAAAAUGAUCAAAUUAACCUAGAAAAGGCUCAGAAUCUCCAUAGUACCUUCUUCAGCAGAAUCGGUUUCGAGACAUCUCAGAGAAUCCAGUCAUUUGAAGCACUGCUAGAAAAAUU
rnacentral:lncRNA from 1 species